ACUCCUACGGGAGGCAGCAGUAGGGAAUCUUCCACAAUGGGCGAAAGACCUGAUGGAGCAACGCCGCGUGGGUGAAGAAGGUCUUCGGAUCGUAAAACCCUACGUUGUUUAGAGAAGAAAAGUAGCGUGAGAGUAACUGUUCACGUUUUCGACGGUAUCUAACCAGAAAGCCACGGCUAACUACGUGCCAGCAGCCGCGGUAAUACGUAGGUGGCAAGCGUUAUCCGGAUUUAUUGGGCGUAAAGGGAACGCAGGCGGUCUUUUAAGUCUGAUGUGAAAGCCUUCGGCUUAACCGGAGUAGUGCAUUGGAAACUGGGAGACUUGAGUGCAGAAGAGGAGAGUGGAACUCCAUGUGUAGCGGUGAAAUGCGUAGAUAUAUGGAAGAACACCAGUGGCGAAAGCGGCUCUCUGGUCUGUAACUGACGCUGAGGUUCGAAAGCGU
rnacentral:rRNA from 1 species